rnacentral:tRNA from 1 species
AGCCCUGUAGUGAAUAUCACGUUGGAUUGCAAAUUCAAAGAAGCAGCUUCAAUUCUGCCGGGGCUU